rnacentral:tRNA from 1 species
GAGGGUAUAGCUCAAGUGGUAGAGUGCAUGCUUAGCAUGCACAAAGUCCUGGGUUCAGUCCCCAGUACCUCCU